rnacentral:lncRNA from 1 species
CUUUGUCCUGCCCAGAUGGACCUGCAGACUCAGACUGUCCUGCACUGAGCUGAGCUGUACAGCUGUUGGAGCAAGUCACCUGGGACUUCAACAACCUGGAUUUCAGUCUUCUAAGAUGUAAGCAAUAAAGUUUUGCCGCAGAAGAUUCUGGUUUGCUGUGUUCUUCCUGGCCGGGCGUGAGAACGCGUUUAAUAACAAUUGGUGCCGAAUUCCGGGACGAGAAAAAACUCGGGACUGGCGCAAGGAAGAUCCCUCAUUCCAGAACCAG